AGUGAACGCUGGCGGUAGGCCUAACACAUGCAAGUCGAACGGCAGCACAGUAAGAGCUUGCUCUUACGGGUGGCGAGUGGCGGACGGGUGAGGAAUACAUCGGAAUCUACUUUUUCGUGGGGGAUAACGUAGGGAAACUUACGCUAAUACCGCAUACGACCUACGGGUGAAAGCAGGGGAUCUUCGGACCUUGCGCGAUUGAAUGAGCCGAUGUCGGAUUAGCUAGUUGGCGGGGUAAAGGCCCACCAAGGCGACGAUCCGUAGCUGGUCUGAGGGGAUGAUCAGCCACACUGGAACUGAGACACGGUCCAGACUCCUACGGGAGGCAGCAGUGGGGAAUAUUGGACAAUGGGCGCAAGCCUGAUCCAGCCAUACCGCGUGGGUGAAGAAGGCCUUCGGGCUGUAAAGCCCUUUUGUUGGGAAAGAAAAGCAGCAGGUUAAUACCCCGCUGUUCUGACGGUACCCAAAGAAUAAGCACCGGCUAACUUCGUG
rnacentral:rRNA from 1 species